rnacentral:rRNA from 1 species
GGAAUUGUUCGCAAUGGGCGCAAGCCUGACGACGCAACGCCGCGUGGAGGAUGAAGGUCUUCGGAUUGUAAACUCCUGUUGCUCGGGACGAAUGGCUCCGACCUAACACGUCGGAGUGUGACGGUACCGGGUGAGGAAGCCCCGGCUAACUCCGUGCCAGCAGCCGCGGUAAUACGGGGGGGGCGCGCGUUGUUCGGAAUUACUGGGCGUAAAGGGUUCGUAGGUGGCCUUCUAAGUCAGAUGUGAAAUCCCUCGGCUCAACCGAGGAACUGCAUCUGAAACUGGAGGGCUCGAGUGCAGGAGAGGAACGCGGAAUUCCAGGUGUAGCGGUGAAAUGCGUAGAUAUCUGGAGGAACACCGGUGGCGAAGGCGGCGUUCUGGACUGCAACUGACACUGAGGAACGAAAGCCAGGGGAGCAAAC